rnacentral:lncRNA from 1 species
ACAUCCAGAUCAAACAACAUUGGUCCAGAGAAAAUGAGCUAGGAAAGGCUGCCUCAUUGGGAUUUCUGAAAUUAUGCAAGAAUCAUUAAAAUGUAGAACAUGACUAUGAGUAACCAGCAUGAAAAUACCAAGUGCAUUUCUUCUAUUCACAGAAUGACUACCCAGUAACUUAUGUGGUAUAAUUUAUUGAGGGCUUUCCUUGACAAAUGAAAGGAAACCGUAUUUGCGAAGGAAACUGCAAAUACGGUUUCAUUUUCAAACUUGUGCUGCCAAUUUCUAUGAAUAAUUUUGUGUCCAGGAUUUAAUGAAUCUUUCAGGAAUUUUUAUAAACUGCUACAAGUCAAAGUCAAGAGACAGUGUUUGCAAGAAGCAGUGUUUCAAAGGUUUAAAUGCUAUACCUGGUUCUGGCCAGAAACUCUGAAGUUCUCUUCUUCUUUUCAGAUAUUGGAAUAUUCUUCAUGUAAUGCAGUAUCACUUCUGUAUGAAGCCACGUGUAACUUGUCCCCCUCCUUUCCAUCAUGAGAACUACUGAAGAUGUAAACCAAAUCCAGCAGGGAAACCAGUGACAUUUGUGAAUAGUAGACGGGAUAAAAGGAGCUGGACACACUCUUUCUUCAACAUCUGCCAUGAUAUGAUUUCACAAGCAAGAAAUGUGCCAAGGCUUCUACCCAAGAAUAUAACGUACAUGGACACGUCAUGGGGGCUCCCCUGCCCUCAAGCUCCCAUGGGGGUUCAGCCAAUGAAGACAAGAAGAAAGAGAGAUUGAGGUAUUUAUUCCCCCAGCUCCCUCCUGGCUGGGCUGUAGUUUGGCAGUGGCCCAGCUCCUAUUGGACACCUGCUCUCAGAGCUGUGGGUCUCAGUGGGUUUCAGAAACAGCCCCUUUCCCUUGGCCCUUCAGAUCCAAGGGUGGCAACAGCUUCCUACUGGUGCUGGUCUCUGGGUGCUUCACCAGCUAUUGUAAAGAGUCCCCUCCUUAGCUACCCCUUUGAGAAUGUCACCUGCCUGCUGCCAGGACACUGACAACCCGCAGGCCCUGCACCCCUCAGGCUUUAUUAUCUACCUGUUGCUCAUAGUUGUCUAGCACAGGGGUAGACACACUAUGGCCUGCAGGCCGUAUCUGACCUGCCACCUGUCUUUGUACAACCCUUGAACUACGAGUGAUUUUUAGUGAUUUUUUUCCAUUUUUAAAUGGUUGAAAAAAAAUCAAAAGAAUAUUUUAUGACAUAUGAAAAUUAUAUGAAAUGCAAAUCUCAGUGUCCAAAAAUAAAGAUUUAUGGGAACACAGCCACUCCUAUUUGUUUCCAAAUUGUCUAUAGCUGCUUUCACACUACAAUGGCAGAUUGUACAAUGGGAGAUUAUAAGGCCCACAAGGCCUAAAGGAUUUACUAUCUGGUCCUUUACAGAGAAAGUUUGCCAGCCCCCGUUCUAGAACAUGCUAUGCGACACUACAAUGGAAAGAGAAGGGGAUCUAGGCAUCACAGAAAAUCUUCCUGGUCCCUUCCCUCGCCGAGGCAUAAUGUUUAGAGACUGCUGUUUAAUUUCUCAAGUUACAUGGAAGGGUGGGAGGUGGUCCUGGACACUCAGGGCACCCAAAAUAGAAACCAAGACACUCUCAAUGUGGGGAAAAGUCCCUAUUGUGCAGAGUGCUCUGUCCAACCCUUCAGCCUUUGCAAGAAACUCCUGCAUCCUCUGCUAGAGCCCCAGAAGCCUCUUCCCUGAGCUUCCCAGAGCAGUUCCACUGCUGCUGAACCCUGACUGUUGGACCGCCUCUUCCUCCUGCUUGAGCCACCAAAGCUCUGCUUGCCACAGGCCCUUGGGGCCAGUCUGCUCUCCUUGGCAUGAAAACAUGAACACCCUUCAGCAGUUUAAUAGGCACUAAAGGGCAUAUUUUGCUGGAAGACUGGUCUGCAGAAGUGGCUGAGGCACCCCUAAAGGCUGGGUGCUGGUGGGGGUCAGACCAGCAGCCCUCCCUACCCUGGCACCUGGAAGUCAGGCUCAGCACACUAUGGGUAGAACAACCUGCUCUUCUUCUCAGUCAUCCUAGGGCUGGCCCAGAAGCCAAACAGUGUCUAAAUGACACAUCAGAUUUUGUACUUUAUUCCCUCCGGCUCAGACAGAAGGAAAUUGGCUUUCUUUCAUAGCUAUAUACACUAUUACGGGCUGGGAUUCAGUGUGUGAAAUAAACUAUUUUUAAUUAGUUUUUUCAAUAACUGUAAGCUGUAAUCGCACCAAGUAGAAAAGAGGUAAUACUGAGGUUUCAAGGGACACAGGUGAGUGUAUGCAGUUAUUAAUUAGCCCUGGCAAACACUGGAAAGAAGAACGGGGUCUGCACCUUUGCCUACGCCCUCAAGUGGGCACCACUGAUGGUGAAUGUAUAUCUCAACACAAAGGAACUCCGGGAAGAUUGUCCAGACACCAACACUGCCCUAAGACUGUACUCGAGUCUGCAAAGAGAUGAAAAGAAAAAAGGUUGUGCUUACUGCCUUCACCAAGCUCUCAAGGUUGGCUCUUUUUUGCUGUAAACACCCUCACACGGCUAUUGAACUCUCUACUUCCUCAUAUUUUAUGCAACUGGAUACUCUCUCCUUUGGAUUUUUAAGUAAUGUCACCUAAAGCUCUGUAACCCCAAUAUCUAUUUUUAAUUUUUAUAAUUUUAUCUUUAUGCUUAUAAACACUGGUGCAGUAAAAGCUCACAUAUCUGUAGGGGGUAAAUCUUCCAGCUCCCUCCCUGCAAACUUUGCAAAGAUGUUUCUCAGCCUAUGGCUCACUUAAUUAAUCUAACUCUUUCAAGGUCAUCCAGUGAUACUGAUGAAAUAUUCCACCGGAGGGAGAAUCAUGAAAUAUUCCACCGGAGGGAGAAUCAAAUCCCUGUCUAGCCUCCUUGCCCGCAGGAAGUUGACAGAAGAGGGAUUGACCUGAAGGAUCAAGGGGUAUGCAGUCCAAGUGGGAAUGUAACAUGCAUGAGGUGGAGGGACUGAACCUCAAUCAGAUGGAGUGAAUGCUUCAGGUCACACAGCGAAAGAGUCCUGGAUGAAAACCCAGUGCUACCAGAAGGCAGUCUCUUCUCUCCACCACACUGUACCUCCCACAGCCCUCUUUUAGAGCAAGGCCAUUUCAGGGAAGCCUUGCCAUACCCGAUCUCCACAGGCAGCUCUCACCAACUGUGCUUCAAGUGCAUGGUCAUUCCAGAGCCUGGACGGAACGGGCACUCCUGGUGCUAUGGCCUCACUGCCUACAAAGCUAAGUGCACAGGUAGGGGGACAGGGUGCUUCCUUUGCUCCUGUGGUGAUCUGGAGACACAGAUCAACCCAGUGUGAAUGGAACCAGGCAGAGCUGCCCACCAAAAUAAAAGUGUGGCCAAAACCCAGCCCUGCUUGUGGGUGAACAAAAAACAUGCCCUCCAGCCACAACUGCAUUCACAGAGCUUCCGGGGA